GUGCUUGAUUCAGCAGCACAUAUACUAAAACUGGAACGAUACAGAGAAAAUUAGCAUGGCUCCUGCGCAAGGAUGACACGCAGAUCCGUGAAGUGUUCCAUAUUUAA